GAGUCCCAUGGUAAACACCCCUGUCCCUGUGAACCCCGCCAGCCCUGGGAGAAGCUCUUCUCAGGGUGUCCACUUUACAAACCUGACCCUGCACGCCCCGCUCUGCCCUGCACCUCCAUCCUGAACUAUCUGGACACAGCAGGCUGGAGUGCAAUGGUGCCAUCUCAGCUCACUGCCACCUCUGCCUCCCGGGUUCAAGUGAUUCUCCUGCCUCAGCCUCCCGAGUAUCUGGGAUUACAGUGCCUCCUGCCUCCCUGCCAGCACCGAGCCCCUCUUCCAGCCCACCCCAGUGGGGUUCAGGCCCCUACCUGGAGCCUCACCUUGCGGGUGACGGUGCACUGCUGAGUCAUGUCCUGGAUGAGGGCUAUGAGCUGCUGCUGAGCCCUGCAAAGACCAGGAGAGGCCCUGACCCAGCUGCCUCCUGCCAGGAGGAGGAAGCCGAGGCAGGCUGGGUGCCAUUUCCCCGUGGGCCUCUCUGGGGACGCACCGAGCUCGCGGCAGCUGCUCACCUGGAGUAGUUGGGGAUGGUGCCGUGCGCGGCAGCAGCAGAAGCCGUCCACCCUCCUGAGAAGCCCCACGGCCUCCUCCAGGGUCGUGUCCUCCAGGACUGCCUUGAACAAGGGCUCUGUGGCUUCAUAAUCAACCUGAGGGAAAGUCGAGAAGGUCAGUCUCUUUCCCCCGGGACUCUUAAUCUAGCCAGAAUGCAGAGGGCGCUGAGGGCACUGAGGCAAGGUGCGUGCCAGCCCUGCAGUAGGACCACUGCCUGCACGCCUUGGUCAAAACAAAGCCGCACCACCAGA
rnacentral:antisense_RNA from 1 species